rnacentral:lncRNA from 1 species
CUAAUCCCAUUCUAAUCCAAUAUCAGCCACAACAGCCGCAAAAAGAAGGGAAAAGAGAGAAAAAAACUGCUCUAUUCUCUCUUUUACUCCUCACGUCGGCACUCUCCCCCUUUUCAACUCCGACUGAAGCGCAGCAAGGGCACCGACGGCGCACCACCACUAGUAAGAACCUCUUCCUUUCUUCCUUGCUUUUUGCACACAAAACAGAAAAUCAAAGAAAAAAAAGGAAAAUAAAACACAAAGAAAAUCACCUUUCAAAAGAUUUCUUAUUUUUGCUCCAAUUUCCUAUUUUUAUAUAUUUCCUCAAUAAUUUUCUGAUACAAAAAACGCAACCCCCCUUAUUACAAAUUUUAUUUGGCUUUAUAUAGUCGAAAAUAAAAAACUAACUCCCCCAUUUUACAUUUUGUUGUAUUUUCUGCUAUAUUUGCGUUGUAUGCUGUUUGUUUGCUGAAGAACUGGAGGAGAACAUGGGCUAUGCGAGGGCAACGUGCUGCGAUGUUGAGGCGAUUGUUGCAGCGCGGAGGAAGGGAAGCAAGCUGUUGUGUUGUUGAUUUUUUUUUAGUUUGGGUUACUGUUUGGGUUUGGGGCUGUUAAUUGGGCCGAGCAAUUUGGGCUUGUACACCAUGAACUGUAUAUAUGGUCAAAGGACGUUGAAUAGUGGGUAGACUUGUUGCAUAAAUAUUGCCAUGAUGUUUUGGAUACUUUCAUAGCUUAAUUGUUCUUAGGAAUUUUGGACUUGGACCUUAACAUGUUGAUUCUUGUUCGGACAUACUUUUCAUGUUUUGAACUGUUAUUUUGGUUGUUUUGACGAUUGUUGAUAUGGUUAAAGAUGCAUGUUGAAUGGACUUAAGUUAGAUUGGACUAAUUGGUUUAAAAUGUUGUAUUUUGCUGCCUAGAGCAAAAGUAUCGAUAUUCGUGUUUUAAAAAUGAUACCUCCAUAAUUUUUGAAAGUGUAGGAAGUCGGUAUUGUAAUUUGGUAUCGAUACCUUACCACGAGUAUCGAUACUCGGGGUAAAAUAAUUGAUACUUUAAUAAAGGUAAUGAUAUAUUCUAGGUUUUGAUUUUUAGAUGAGAAACAGAAUCCUAUUUUGGUAUCGAUUUUCCAAUCAGUAUCGAUACUAUAUAAGAGAAAUAUCGAUACAUUUGUUUCAGUAUCGAUACCUGUGUAACUUGUUUUAGAAUUUUGCUAAGUGGUUCUUAUGCAUGUUUAAUUAAUAUUAUAAGUUUGUUUGAAGUAUGUUUGGCAUAUUUUAAUGAUGAUUAGUAUAUGCUUGACUUCGAAAUUUGUAGGAAUGCUAAUAAAGAGGACGAUUGCAUAUUAAUGUGACAUUUUAUAAUGUGUGUGAUGCGUGACGGUGGUGUGACAUCUUGAUAUUCAGGCCCAACGACCGGGCUGGGUAUAGGGUGUUACAGAACAAAAAUGAGCAUGAUAUCUAGUCUUUAGUUCUUUCAAAACCAUGUGAAUUCUUUUAUGCUUAGUUGUGCCUGCUAUGACUUAACUUUGUCGUGCUUAUGCUCUUGUUCUUGUAUAAUUAUCAUUGAAAGCUAUAGAUUUGUGUGUUAUGUGUGCUCAUUUCAAAGCAAAGUAAGUGUAGUCAUUUUCAUUUGGGCUUACUAAGCAAUUUAGGCCUAUGUGUUGUUUUGUUUGUGCAUAGAUCUUGCUUUUUGGAUUCACGAAGUCCCGCUCAACCCUGGGAUCAUCACACUAUCAACCAAGCAUUUGAGAGUUUGAAAUUAGUGUAUAUGUGAUUUGUAGCAUGUGUUAGGGUGUCAAACUUGUAUUUAUAAAUUUAUGCUUUCAUAUGUCAUGAAGUACUUGAACUAUUGGUUAAGCAUUGGGUUGUUGAGUAUAUUGGCUCAUUUGAUUAGAUUAAACUUUGAAGUCUAUACGUACUAUUGGUUAAGCAUGCAUACCUUUAUUCCUUUUAUUUUACUCCUUAAAUUGUAUGGUUGUGAAGC